AUAUGGAGUCCCCAGGCUCUGUUCCUGGCUGAACCCUGCCUGUGGGUAGGCCCGUUCUUCAUCCUUCUAAUACUUUUGCCAUCAGCUGGCUUCAGUUAUGUCUCUGAGUCACCCAAGAGACACCAAAUGAUUAUUGAUACCAUAUGUAAAAGCACUUAGCAUGAUUCAUAGGAAUAUAGUCCUAAAUAAGUGGCAGUCGUUACCAUUAUUCCCAUUUUAGAGGUAAGAAAGUUGAGACAGAGUAAAUAAUUUGUCUUGUACAUUUGAUCUAGAAUCCAAUCUGAGCUUCCUGACACCUGGUCCUAAGUUCUUCUUCUUUUUCUUUUUUUUUUUUUUUCCUAAGUUCUUCUGUUUGAGACAGGGUUUCACUAUGUAGUUCAGGGUGGCCUUCAACUCACUAUGUAGCCCAGGCAGGGCUUGAACUUGUGGCAAUCUUCCUGCCUCAGCCUCCUGAGUGCUGGGAUUUCAGGCAUGUGCCACCAUGCCCUGCUGGACCCGAGUUUUGUUCUGUCUAUUCUUUGACUUGUGAAAUAAAACUUUCAAAGAGGGCAUAAGUAGGUAACUACUUAUACAUGGUUCCAAAUAAUUCAAAACACCUUGAUGUAUCCUAUAAACAGGACAAGAAUUAGAAAAGUGGUUACAACCUGGAAGACCUUCCAGUGCCCCUCCCUGACAUGGAUUUCCCUCUCCCCACCAGAGGCUUUUCCAAGGAGAAUGUGCUGUUUAAGCACCAAAGGAUGAUGGAGAAACCAUUUAUGGAAAUUGAGAAGCUUGGAGAAGAAACAGAUCAAGAGGAGGAAAGCAAGACUCUUCUCCGGGAUUCACCAAAGAGAACAUAU
rnacentral:lncRNA from 1 species